rnacentral:rRNA from 1 species
UACGAAGGGGGCUAGCGUUGCUCGGAAUCACUGGGCGUAAAGCGCACGUAGGCGGAUUGCUAAGUCAGGGGUGAAAUCCUGGAGCUCAACUCCAGAACUGCCUUUGAUACUGGCGACCUUGAGUCCGGGAGAGGUGAGUGGAACUGCGAGCGUAGAGGUGAAAUUCGUAGAUAUUCGCAAGAACACCAGUGGCGAAGGCGGCUCACUGGCCCGGUACUGACGCUGAGGUGCGAAAGCGUGGGGAGCAAACAGG